AAAGGCAUGUCUAGUAUAAGCAAAUUAUACCGUGAAACUGCGAAUGGCUCAUUAAAUCAGUUAUCGUUUAUUUGAUAGUACCUUACUACUUGGAUAACCGUGGUAAUUCUAGAGCUAAUACAUGCUAAAAGCCCCGACUUCGGAAGGGGUGUAUUUAUUAAAUUAAAAACCAAUGCCCUUCGGGGCUCUUUGGUGAUUCAUGAUAACUUAACGAAUCGCAUGGCCUUGUGCCGGCGAUGGUUCAUUCAAAUUUCUGCCCUAUCAACUUUCGAUGGUAGUAUAUGGGACUACCAUGGUUUCAACGGGUAACGGGGAAUUAGGGUUCUAUUCCGGAGAGGGAGCCUGAGAAACGGCUACCACAUCCAAGGAAGGCAGCAGGCGCGCAAAUUACCCAAUCCCGACACGGGGAGGUAGUGACAAUAAAUACUGAUGCAGGGCUCUUUUGGGUCUUGUAAUUGGAAUGAGUACAAUUUAAAUCCCUUAACGAGGAACAAUUGGAGGGCAAGUCUGGUGCCAGCAGCCGCGGUAAUACCAGCUCCAAUAGCGUAUAUUAAAGUUGUUGCAGUUAAAAAGCUCGUAGUUGAACCUUGGGCCUGGCUGGCCGGUCCGCCUCACCGCGUGCACUGGUCCGGCCGGGUCUUUCCUCCUGGGGAGCCGCAUGCCCUUCACUGGGUGUGUCGGGGAACCAGGACUUUUACUUUGAAAAAAUUAGAGUGUUCAAAGCAGGCCUAUGCUCGAAUACAUUAGCAUGAAAUAAUAGAAUAGGACGUGUGGUUCUAUUUUGUUGGUUUCUCGGACCGCCGUAAUGAUUAAUAGGGAUAGUCGGGGGCAUCAGUAUUCAAUUGUCAGAGGUGAAAUUCUUGGAUUGAUUGAAGACUAACUACUGCGAAAGCAUUUGCCAAGGAUGUUUCAUUAUCAGGAACGAAAGUUAGGGGAUCGAAGACGAUCAGAUACCGUCGUAGUCUACAUAACUAUGCGACUAGGGAUCGGGCGAUGUUAUUUUUUUUAUGACUCGCUCGCUCUACGAGAAAUCAAGUCUUUGGGUUCUGGGGGAGUAUCGCUCGCAUGCUGAUAAA
rnacentral:rRNA from 1 species